rnacentral:rRNA from 1 species
GUCGGAGGCUUAUAAGGGACAGUUUUGGCGUAGCCAUCCUUGGGAGACCACCCGUGUAGUACUGGGACUCUAACCAUAGGCCAUGAAUCUGGUCUUGGGACACUGGCAGGUGGGCAGUUUGACUGGGGCGGUCGCCUCCCAAAAGGUACCGGAGGCGCUCAAUGGUUCUCUCAGUACGGUCGGAAAGCGUACGUAGAGUGUAAAGGCAACAGAGAGCUUGAUUGCAAGACAGACAGGGCGAGCGAGGACGAACAUCGUGCUUAGUGAUCCGGUGGUGCGGCGUGGAGGUGCGAUCGCCCCACGGAUCAAAGCUCCCCUGGGUAAAGCAGGCUGAUCUCCCCCAAGAGUCCACAGCGACGGGGAGGUUUGGCACCUCGCUGU